ACGAACGCUGGCGGCGUGCUUAACACAUGCAAGUCGAGGGCUCCAGCAAUGGAGGACCGGCGAACGGGUGCGUAACACGUGAGCGACCGACCUUCUCGUGGAGGAUAGCCGGCCCAACGGCCGGGUAAUACCGCAUACGAUCUCUUUGGUGCAUGCCUUGGAGAUGAAACCCUUCGGGGGCGAGAUGACGGGCUCGCGGCCUAUCAGCUAGUUGGUGGGGUAACGGCCCACCAAGGCGACGACGGGUAGCUGGUCUGAGAGGAUGGCCAGCCACAUUGGGACUGAGAAACGGCCCAGACUCCUACGGGAGGCAGCAGUGGGGAAUAUUGCGCAAUGGCCGAAAGGCUGACGCAGCGACGCCGCGUGUGGGAUGACGCCCUUCGGGGUGUAAACCACUGUUGCCCGGGACGAACAAGCGGAUCAGUCCGCUCUGACGGUACCGGGUGAGGAAGCACCGGCUAACUCCGUGCCAGCAGCCGCGGUAAUACGGAGGGUGCGAGCGUUGUCCGGAAUCACUGGGCGUAAAGGGCGCGUAGGCGGCCUCUUAAGGGUGCGGUGAAAGUCCGGGGCUCAACCCCGGAUCGGCCGUGCCGACUGAGAGGCUGGAGCACUGUAGAGGCGAGUGGAAUUCCGGGUGUAGCGGUGGAAUGCGUAGAGAUCCGGAAGAACACCGGUGGCGAAGGCGGCUCGCUGGGCAGUGGCUGACGCUGAGGCGCGACAGCGUGGGGAGCAAACAGGAUUAGAUACCCUGGUAGUCCACGCCGUAAACGAUGGGCACUAGGUGCUUGGGGGAGCGACCCUCCGAGUGCCGGCGCUAACGCAUUAAGUGCCCCGCCUGGGGAGUACGGCCGCAAGGCUGAAACUCAAAGGAAUUGACGGGGGCCCGCACAAGCGGUGGAGCAUGUGGUUUAAUUCGACGCAACGCGAAGAACCUUACCUGGGCUUGACAUGCACGGGAAACUCUCCAGAAACGGAGAGCCCUCUUCGGAGUCCGUGCACAGGUGCUGCAUGGCUGUCGUCAGCUCGUGUCGUGAGAUGUUGGGUUAAGUCCCGCAACGAGCGCAACCCUCGCCCCCAGUUGCUAACGGGUAAUGCCGAGGACUCUGGGGGGACUGCCGGUGCCAAACCGGAGGAAGGUGGGGACGACGUCAAGUCAUCAUGGCCCUUACGUCCAGGGCUACACACGUGCUACAAUGGGCCGUACAAAGGGUUGCGAAGCCGCGAGGUGAAGCCAAUCCCAAAAAGCGGUCCUCAGUUCGGAUUGCAGUCUGCAACUCGACUGCAUGAAGCCGGAAUCGCUAGUAAUCGUGGAUCAGCUACGCCACGGUGAAUACGUUCCCGGGCCUUGUACACACCGCCCGUCACGCCAUGGAAGCUGUGAGCGCCCGAAGUCGGUGUCGGAACCCGCAAGGGACCAAGCCGCCGAAGGCGAGCGCAGUGACUGGGGCG
rnacentral:rRNA from 1 species